rnacentral:rRNA from 1 species
UAGGGAAUCUUCCACAAUGGACGAAAGUCUGAUGGAGCAACGCCGCGUGAGUGAAGAAGGGUUUCGGCUCGUAAAACUCUGUUGUUAAAGAAGAACAUAUCUGAGAGUAACUGUUCAGGUAUUGACGGUAUUUAACCAGAAAGCCACGGCUAACCACGUGCCAC